rnacentral:rRNA from 1 species
GACGAACGCUGGCGGCGUGCCUAAUACAUGCAAGUAGAACGCACAGUUUAUACCGUAGCUUGCUACACCAUAAACUGUGAGUUGCGAACGGGUGAGUAACGCGUAGGUAACCUGCCUGGUAGCGGGGGAUAACUAUUGGAAACGAUAGCUAAUACCGCAUAAUAUUGAUUAUUGCAUGAUAAUUGAUUGAAAGAUGCUAUUGCAUCACUACCAGAUGGACCUGCGAUGUAUUAGCUAGUAGGUGAGGUAACGGCUCACCUAGGCGACGAUACAUAGCCGACCUGAGAGGGUGAUCGGCCACACUGGGACUGAGACACGGCCCAGACUCCUACGGGAGGCAGCAGUAGGGAAUCUUCGGCAAUGGACGAAAGUCUGACCGAGCAACGCCGCGGGAGUGAAGAAGGUUUUCGGAUCGUAAAGCUCUGUUGUAAGAGAAGAACGGGUGUGAGAGUGGAAAGUUCACACUGUGACGGUAUCUUACCAGAAAGGGACGGCUAACUACGUG